rnacentral:snoRNA from 1 species
GUUAUGAUGAUCACCAUUUGUGCAAAGAGCGACCAUUCAUUUGGAGACCUCUGUGAUUGCCAUUUCAUUAUAGACUACAACGGUAUCUGAUA